AGCGUGCAGUAGAUGCUGGACAUCACUUGUGUUGCACGCAUCAUCCACUCAUGGCGAUUGGCUUGGCAUCCACUGAUCAUUUCGUGCUCCUCACCAUCCUCAUCUGCCUCCUCGUCCAUGAUUGCAGCGCCGGCUAUGACGUCGAGUCAACCGAUACGUCGGGGAAGCAGAUGUCGGCCCAGCUAAAGCUCGCCGGCGGGACGACGGAAUUUGGGCCGGAUGUGAAGAGUCUCAGCCUAACGGCAAGUCUUGAGACAGAUAGCCGGCUACGCGUGCGCAUCACCGAUGCUGACCAUCAGCGAUGGGAGGUUCCCCAAGACGCCAUCCCACGCCCGGCGGCGCCAGGGCCAGAGCCAAAGGGCGUCUUGCUCGACUCACCGGGCAGUGCCUCCAUGCCGAGCCACAACACCAUGUCCAGCCCGUCUUCGGACCUGAACUUCACCAUCCACACCAGCCCGUUCCGCUUCACCGUCUCCCGUCGCUCGACGCAUGACAUCCUCUUUGACACUUCUGCCAACCUUGUCUUCAAGGACCGGUACUUGGAGGUGACAUCGGCGCUGCCGGCUGACCGAGCAUCCCUGUAUGGGCUUGGCGAGCAGAAGAAACAGACGUUCCGGCUACAAACACAAUGACAGUUUCACACUGUGGAACGAGGACGUGACGUGGUCCGACCAACUGGACCUCAACCUCUACGGCUCGCACCCGUUCUACAUGGACGUGCGCUCCGGCGGUGCCGCGCAUGGCGUGCUCCUCCUAAACAGCAAUGGGAUGGACAUACUGUACGGCGGAUCCCACGUCACCUACAAGGUGAUCGGCGGUGUGCUAGACUUCUACUUCUUCGCCGGCCCAUCCCCCCUCGCCGUCGUCGACCAGUACACACAGCUCAUCGGCCGCCCUGCCCCCAUGCCCUACUGGUCAUUCGGGUUCCACCAGUCCAGGUAUGGCUACAAGAACGUGGCUGAUCUGGUUGGCGUGGUCGCCGGCUACGCCAAGGCCAAGAUCCCAUUGGACGCGAUCUGGUCGGACAUCGACUACAUGGACAAUUACCAGGACUUCACGCUGGAUCCGGUGAACUACCCAUCCAAGCAGCUCCGGCCGUUCGUCGACCGGCUCCACAACAAUGGCCAGAAAUACGUGGUCACCGUACACCCGGCUAUCAAACGGCAAGCAGCACCUCACGAGGACUUGUUCCUCAAGCGGAACGGCGCCAACCUGGUAGGCGAGGCGUGGCCAGGCGAGGUCUACUUCCUGGACUUCAUGAACCCGCGCAGCACCGAGUACUGGGCACGAAAGAUCUCUGAGUUUCGGCGGACCAUCCCUGUCGACGGGCUCUGGUGCGACAUCAAAGAGCCGUCCAACUUCAAGGACUGGCAGCCUCUCAAUGCGUUGGACGACCCGCCCUACCGCAUCAACAACUCCGGCUUUCACCUUCCCAUCAACUACAGGACAGUGCCGGCCUCUACGGUGCACUACAACAACGUGACCGAGUACGACGCGCACAAUCUCUUCGGCCUCCUCCAGACGCAGGCCACGCACGCCGGGCUGCUCAGGGACACCAAACGCCGCCCCUUCGUGCUCACCCGCUCUACCUUUGUCGGUUCCGGCCGUUACGCCGCGCACUGGACAGGCAACAACGACGCGAGGUGGGACGAGCUUGCGCGCUCCAUCAACACCAUCCUCAACUUUGGACUCUUAGGCAUCCCCAUGAUGGGCGCCGACAUCUGCGGCUUCAACGGCAACACCACCCAGGAGCUCUGCAGCCGCUGGAUUCAGCUCGGCGCAUUCUACCCGUUCGCCAGGGCCCAUGCGGAGAAGACAACCCUACGGCGAGAGCUCUAUGUGUGGGAGUCGACGGCACGGUCGGCGAAGAAGGCGUUGGAGAUGCGCUACCGGCUGCUCCCCUACAUCUACACGCUCAUGUACGAGGCGCACACGACGGGUGCGCCCAUCGUGCGCCCGCUCUUCUUCUCCUACCCGCACGACAACAACACCUACGGCGUGGACAGGCAGUUCAUGCUCGGCCGCGCCGUGCUUGUCUCUCCAGUGCUAGAGCCCGGCGCCAAAACCGUCGACGCCUAUUUCCCCGCCGGCCGGUGGUUCAAUCUUUACAACCAGUCCGUCGCCCUCACCAUGAAGGCCGGCAAGCGCGUCACCCUCCCGGCGCCAGCGGACUUGGCAAACGCGUACCUGGCCGGCGGCAACAUCCUACUACUGCAGCAAGCGGGCCUCACCACGUCCGCCGCACGCCAGGGUGAUCUCCACCUCCUUGUGGCGCUCGCGGAGAACGGGACGGCCAGCGGGGAACUCUUCUUGGAUGACGGCGACUCGCCGGAGAUGGGCGGCGUGGGAGGCAAUUGGACCCUCGUGAGAUUCAGCUGCGACAGGGAAGAGAGCAAGGGCACCAUCACAACCAAGGUGAGUUCACAUGUGGUGCGAAACUCAUACGCGCCGACUCGGGCGCAGGUCAUCGACAAGGUGGUCAUCAUGGGGCUGCAGUCGCCACCAAAGAGCUUCACCAUCUAUGUAAACAACGUUGAGCUCAAGGCAGCCCACACCAUGUCCCGGACCAGUGGAGUGUUCAGCGUCAGUGGAAUGGCGCUGGCAAUCGGAGACAAGUUCGAGAUCAAGCUCGUCAUGUCCCAUUAAUUAACAUUGAGACCAUCUGUGUAUAUUUUUUGAUCUGAAUAAAAACAAAAGUUGAAGAUUUCUAGUA